rnacentral:rRNA from 1 species
UUAAGCGACUAAGCGUACACGGUGGAUGCCCUGGCAGUCAGAGGCGAUGAAGGACGUGCUAAUCUGCGAAAAGCGUCGGUAAGGUGAUAUGAACCGUUAUAACCGGCGAUGUCCGAAUGGGGAAACCCAGUGUGAUUCGUCACACUAUCGUUAACUGAAUACAUAGGUUAACGAGGCGAACCGGGGGAACUGAAACAUCUAAGUACCCCGAGGAAAAGAAAUCAACCGAGAUUCCCCCAGUAGCGGCGAGCGAACGGGGAGCAGCCCAGAGUCUGAAUCAGCUUGUGUGUUAGUGGAACGGUCUGGAAAGUCCGACGGUACAGGGUGAUAGUCCCGUACACCAAAAUGCACAGGCUGUGAACUCGAAGAGUAGGGCGGGACACGUGGUAUCCUGUCUGAAUAUGGGGGGACCAUCCUCCAAGGCUAAAUACUCCUGACUGACCGAUAGUGAACCAGUACCGUGAGGGAAAGGCGAAAAGAACCCCGGCGAGGGGAGUGAAAAAGAACCUGAAACCGUGUACGUACAAGCAGUGGGAGCACCUUCGGGUGUGACUGCGUACCUUUUGUAUAAUGGGUCAGCGACUUAUAUUCUGUAGCAAGGUUAACCGUAUAGGGGAGCCGCAGGGAAACCGAGUCUUAACUGGGCGUUAAGUUGCAGGGUAUAGACCCGAAACCCGGUGAUCUAGCCAUGGGCAGGUUGAAGGUUGGGUAACACUAACUGGAGGACCGAACCGACUAAUGUUGAAAAAUUAGCGGAUGACUUGUGGCUGGGGGGGAAAGGCCAAUCAAACCGGGAGAUAGCUGGUUCUCCCCGAAAGCUAUUUAGGUAGCGCCUCGUGAACUCAUCUUCGGGGGUAGAGCACUGUUUCGGCUAGGGGGUCAUCCCGACUUACCAACCCGAUGCAAACUACGAAUACCGAAGAAUGUUAUCACGGGAGACACACGGCGGGUGCUAACGUCCGUCGUGAAGAGGGAAACAACCCAGACCGCCAGCUAAGGUCCCAAAGUCAUGGUUAAGUGGGAAACGAUGUGGGAAGGCACAGACAGCCAGGAUGUUGGCUUAGAAGCAGCCAUCAUUUAAAGAAAGCGUAAUAGCUCACUGGUCGAGUCGGCCUGCGCGGAAGAUGUAACGGGGCUAAACCAUGCACCGAAGCUGCGGCAGCGACACUAUGUGUUGUUGGGUAGGGGAGCGUUCUGUAAGCCUGCGAAGGUGUGCUGUGAGGCAUGCUGGAGGUAUCAGAAGUGCGAAUGCUGACAUAAGUAACGAUAAAGCGGGUGAAAAGCCCGCUCGCCGGAAGACCAAGGGUUCCUGUCCAACGUUAAUCGGGGCAGGGUGAGUCGACCCCUAAGGCGAGGCCGAAAGGCGUAGUCGAUGGGAAACAGGUUAAUAUUCCUGUACUUGGUGUUACUGCGAAGGGGGGACGGAGAAGGCUAUGUUAGCCGGGCGACGGUUGUCCCGGUUUAAGCAUGUAGGCUGGUUAUCCAGGCAAAUCCGGAUAAUCAAGGCUGAGGUGUGAUGACGAGGCACUACGGUGCUGAAGUAACAAAUGCCCUGCUUCCAGGAAAAGCCUCUAAGCAUCAGGUAACAUCAAAUCGUACCCCAAACCGACACAGGUGGUCAGGUAGAGAAUACCAAGGCGCUUGAGAGAACUCGGGUGAAGGAACUAGGCAAAAUGGUGCCGUAACUUCGGGAGAAGGCACGCUGGUGUGUAGGUGAAGUCCCUGCGGAUGGAGCUGAGACCAGUCGAAGAUACCAGCUGGCUGCAACUGUUUAUUAAAAACACAGCACUGUGCAAACACGAAAGUGGACGUAUACGGUGUGACGCCUGCCCGGUGCCGGAAGGUUAAUUGAUGGGGUUAUCCGUAAGGAGAAGCUCUUGAUCGAAGCCCCGGUAAACGGCGGCCGUAACUAUAACGGUCCUAAGGUAGCGAAAUUCCUUGUCGGGUAAGUUCCGACCUGCACGAAUGGCGUAAUGAUGGCCAGGCUGUCUCCACCCGAGACUCAGUGAAAUUGAACUCGCUGUGAAGAUGCAGUGUACCCGCGGCAAGACGGAAAGACCCCGUGAACCUUUACUAUAGCUUGACACUGAACAUUGAGCCUUGAUGUGUAGGAUAGGUGGGAGGCUUUGAAGCGUGGACGCCAGUCUGCGUGGAGCCAACCUUGAAAUACCACCCUUUAAUGUUUGAUGUUCUAACGUUGGCCCCUGACCGGGGUUGCGGACAGUGUCUGGUGGGUAGUUUGACUGGGGCGGUCUCCUCCCAAAGCGUAACGGAGGAGCACGAAGGUUAGCUAAUCCUGGUCGGACAUCAGGAGGUUAGUGCAAUGGCAUAAGCUAGCUUGACUGCGAGCGUGACGGCGCGAGCAGGUGCGAAAGCAGGUCAUAGUGAUCCGGUGGUUCUGAAUGGAAGGGCCAUCGCUCAACGGAUAAAAGGUACUCCGGGGAUAACAGGCUGAUACCGCCCAAGAGUUCAUAUCGACGGCGGUGUUUGGCACCUCGAUGUCGGCUCAUCACAUCCUGGGGCUGAAGUAGGUCCCAAGGGUAUGGCUGUUCGCCAUUUAAAGUGGUACGCGAGCUGGGUUUAGAACGUCGUGAGACAGUUCGGUCCCUAUCUGCCGUGGGCGCUGGAGAAUUGAGGGGGGCUGCUCCUAGUACGAGAGGACCGGAGUGGACGCAUCACUGGUGUUCGGGUUGUCAUGCCAAUGGCACUGCCCGGUAGCUAAAUGCGGAAGAGAUAAGUGCUGAAAGCAUCUAAGCACGAAACUUGCCCCGAGAUGAGUUCUCCCUGAGACUAUAAGUCUCCUGAAGGAACGUUAAAGACGAUGACGUUGAUAGGCCGGGUGUGUAAGCGCAGCGAUGCGUUGAGCUAACCGGUACUAAUGAACCGUGAGGCUUAACCUU